rnacentral:lncRNA from 1 species
CAAGCUUUUCUUCUUUUCUUACCUUGUCCCUUCCUGUUGUUUCCUCUGCAGCUGAACAGGUGGCAGCUGGCCUACCAUGGGCUACUGCUCUGAGGACCAGCCCCUCACUGGGCCUCCCAACUCCUGGGAUUCAUCUGCCUCCUCUUCAGUGUGAGUCAGGCACCUGUGCAGUGCAUCUCCAAGCUGUAUCAAAGAACCAGGGACAAAAGAGAAAGAACAAAUGGCCACUCUGAGAGUGCAUUACAUGUGAGAAGCACAGUACAGAUAGCCAAGAUGGCCGAAUAGGAACAGCUCCAGUCUACAGCUCCAAGCAUGAGUGGCGCAGAAGAUGGGUGAUUUCUG